UACGUAGGGGACGAGCGUUGUCCGGAAUUACUGGGCGUAAAGGGCGCGCAGGCUGUAGAUCAAGUCAGCUGUGAAAUGUCUGGGCUUAACCCGGGCAUGCGGUUGAAACUGAUGUACUGGAGUGCUGUAGAGGCAAGUGGAAUUCCCAGUGUAGCGGUGAAAUGCGUAGAUAUUGGGAAGAACACCGGUGGCGAAGGCGACUUGCUGGGCAGCAACUGACGCUGAGGCGCGAAAGCCAGGGGAGGCAAACGGGAUUAGA
rnacentral:rRNA from 1 species